AGUGCGUUCCCCCAAAAAGUUGUCAAAAAGUGUUAGAAAUUUUCACCGCAAGCUGGGAGGCAAUGUCGAUGCGUGAUGCCUUGGUGUCCCAAGGUGCCGGUGCCACAAGGUGUGGCAUGCUGCCCACGAACAUGGACACGGCACACGCAAGCUCCACAGAUAUUUGGGUGACUUGUGGUUACCCAGACGCAUUGGGUCUUUGGAAAGACGUCUGAUAGCCGCGCGAUAAGUAACAUUACCGUACAAUUUUCAAUUAACACGCAGGGGAAAAUUCGAGGGGGAAAUGCGGUGAUAAAUUCCACAGAGCCUCGACCCUGGCGCUUGCAGGCACAAACUGUUCGCCGGAGCACCAACAAAUUGUCUAAUCUAAUGCCCAGCCUGGAGCCCAGAGGAGCGUAGUGGAGCUGAACAUGGAGCUACAGCCCGGAGGAGGACGAAAUCGUCGUUGUGCUCCAGCCAGGUCGGAACUGAUCUAUGGUAGCCGUUAGUGUCGUCGGCAGUGAAAAGUUGUCGACCUGCACUGGCAAAAUAUAGUAAAUAGCGAAUGCAAAAAAUAAAAGGCAGGCAAAUCCCGGCAAAUAAUCGACAAACGUCCAACAAGCCAACUGAGCGUGGUAGACGAUUUAUCAUCUCGACUUGGGCUUCAGUUUCGCCUCCAGUCCGGUGGCCGUAAAAGCUUCUUUAUGGCUGCUUCUGUGCUCUGGACCCUGGACAUUGGUUCUACCUUUUGGACGGGAUGGAAAUCCCGCUCGCCGGGCACAAAUCUUAGAUUUUAUGUUUAGCUUCACUAUGCCCGCUCGCAGUGACAUUUUCGCUUCGUUUUUUACUGCUGUUUUAUGGAUCUUUAAAUG
ensembl:ncRNA lncRNA:CR44036 long non-coding RNA:CR44036